UACGUAGGGUGCGAGCGUUAAUCGGAAUUACUGGGCGUAAAGCGUGCGCAGGCGGUUUUGUAAGUCUGUCGUGAAAGCCCCGGGCUUAACCUGGGAACUGCAUUGGUGACUGCAGCGCUGGAGUAUGGCAGAGGGGGGUGGAAUCCACGUGUAGCAGUGAAAUGCGUAGAGAUGUGGAGGAACACCGAUGGCGAAGGCAGCCCCCUGGGCCAAUACGUGACGCCUCGAUGCACGAAAGCGUGGGGAGAAACAGG
rnacentral:rRNA from 1 species